GGGGGCAGGCCGGAUCCUGGGCUGUGUCCCGGCGCCCUGUGCUCCGGAGCCUGCGCUGUUGGAUUCGCGCUCCCGGGCCGCGCAGCCCCCU
rnacentral:pre_miRNA from 1 species